rnacentral:lncRNA from 1 species
GAGGAAACAGGGCCAGAGAAUUGGAACAAAAUACAAGGCUGCCUCUGAAAGGAAUAUCUUUGUGCUGAUGUGUCCAUCAAGAGAACAUACACAGAAGUGACACUUGCCAGUAAUUUGCAAGCAGAUGGAACUUCAAUAUGGCAAUAGAGAAAGAAUCAAUUAGACCAGAGUCUCCUCAGGAAGACUUUCUAUAGGUGGACGGUCCCCUGGAGAGCCCGCUGUGUUGGAAGAUGUAGAAUAUUCAUAUAUCUGGUGAGCAUCUGCUAGAUGCCAGGGUUGGGGAGAGUCAAGUUGAAGCAAGCAUGAACCCUCAAGGACCUACCAUUUCAAGGCAAGAAAUAGAUACAAAUACAGAAAAUAUUUACUGGAUAGCUACUAGACAUAAGGAUGCAGAAAUGAAUUAGAAAAAUUCCUCGCCCUUGUUCAAAGCUAUGCUGGCUCUUAGAACAUCUGAGCCCCCACUGUUUCAUCUUUAGAGGAUCCCAGCUGCUGGGGUGUGAGGCCAGUGCUGGAGCCAGCAGUCUCUGACCCAGAAGGGACCUGAGGUGCUAAAGAAAAGGGUACAAGCUGGAAAAGGGGAAAAUGAAUCAUGCUACAGGCCAAGUGUCCAUCACUGAUUCCCAGAGAUGCCCUUUGUGUGGUAGGCACUUCCAUGUGGACUCGCUACAGAGGUCAUAAGACCCUAAUUCCAGAGGGCCCUACCCUAUAACCAGAAGGAAGAACUAUUGCACAGAGAAUCUAAGAAGAAUCUAGACAGACAGCCCUUGCUGGAUUUCUCCACUCUGUUAGCAUUCGAUCAUUUGCCUUUUGUCCAGUCAUAUUUCUGCAUGGCUGUCCAUACUUUGUUGAACCUAAGCACAAAAUGGAAAGUUUUCCCUGUAUCUUUGGGUCGUCA